rnacentral:rRNA from 1 species
UGAGGAAUAUUGGACAAUGGGUGAAAGCCUGAUCCAGCCAUCCCGCGUGAAGGAUGACGGUCCUAUGGAUUGUAAACUUCUUUUGUAUAGGGAUAAACCUAGAUACGUGUAUCUAGCUGAAGGUACUUUACGAAUAAGCACCGGCUAACUCCGUGCCAGCAGCCGCGGUAAUACGGAGGGUGCAAGCGUUAUCCGGAUUUAUUGGGUUUAAAGGGUCCGUAGGCGGGCCGGUAAGUCAGUGGUGAAAUCUCAUAGCUUAACUAUGAAACUGCCAUUGAUACUGUCGGUCUUGAGUAAAUUAGUGGUAGCUGGAAUAAGUAGUGUAGCGGUGAGAUGCAUAGAUAUUACUUAGAACACCAAUUGCGAAGGCAGGUUACCAUGAUUUAACUGACGCUGAGGGACGAAAGCGUGGGGAGCGAACGGGAUUAGAUACCCUGGUAGUCCACGCCGUAAACGGUGCUAACUCGUUUUUGGGGCGCAAGCUACAGAGACCAAGCGAAAGUGAUAAGUUAGCCACCUGGGGAGUACGUUCGCAUGAAUGAAACUCAAAGGAAUUGACGGGGGCCCGCACAAGCGGUGGAUUAUGUGGUUUAAUUCGAUGAUACGCGAGGAACCUUACCAAGGCUUAAAUGGGAAAUGACAGAUUUAGAAAUAGAUCCUUCUUCGGACAUUUUUCAAGGUGCUGCAUGGUUGUCGUCAGCUCGUGCCGUGAGGUGUUAGGUUAAGUCCUGCAACGAGCGCAACCCCUGUCACUAGUUGCUGACAUUAAGUUGAGGACUCUAGUGAGACUGCCUACGCAAGUAGAGAGGAAGGUGGGGAUGACGUCAAAUCAUCACGGCCCUUACGCCUUGGGCCACACACGUAAUACAAUGGCCGGUACAGAGGGCAGCUACACAGCGAUGUGAUGCGAAUCUCGAAAGCCGGUCUCAGUUCGGAUUGAAGUCUGCAACUCGACUCUAUGAAGCUGGAAUCGCUAGUAAUCGCGCAUCAGCCAUGGCGCGGUGAAUACGUUCCCGGGCCUUGUACACACCGCCCGUCAAGCCAUGGAAGUCUGGGGUGCCUGAAGAUGGUGAC